AACGAACGCUGGCGGCGUGGAUAAGACAUGCAAGUCGGACGAGAGUUUGUUUAUAGCAAUAUGAGUGAACUCUAGUGGCGAAAGGGUGCGUAACACGUGGCUAUCUACCUCGAAGUGGGGGAUAUCUCCGAGAAAUCGGAGUUAAUACCGCAUGUGACCGUGAGGUCAAAGUUGGGGAUCGUAAGACCUGACGCUUGGAGAGGAGCCCGCGCCUGAUUAGCUAGUGGUGGGGUAAUGGCUCACCAAGGCUACGAUCAGUAGCCGGCCUGAGAGGGCGGACGGCCACACUGGGACUGAGACACGGCCCAGACUCCUACGGGAGGCAGCAGUGGGGAAUUGUUCGCAAUGGGCGCAAGCCUGACGACGCAACGCCGCGUGGAGGAUGAAGGUCUUCGGAUUGUAAACUCCUGUUGACCGGGACGAAUGGGCUCCGACCUAACACGUCGGGGCAGUGACGGUACCGGUUGAGGAAGCCACGGCUAACUCUGUGCCAGCCGCCGC
rnacentral:rRNA from 1 species